AGAAAAACAUCCAGAGACCUUGCCGGCAAUUGAAGACAGCGAAGGUCACCCGGGUGACCAACGGUCGUAUCCCAAUCGGAUACAAUGAGCGACAUCGGGUAGCACCAAUGGUAGAGUAGCAUAGUGCAUUGGCCCACGACAUUGGGCAUGUCGUGCGGACCUUUUUCCCUAUGCGGUGGAAGUCUUGGAAGGCGAUUCCGGAGGAGAUGAAGAACACGGUGCGCAACCAAUUGUCUACAAACUACAAUUUGGUGGACAUGGACGAUGACAUGUUCGUGUACCUCAAUCGGCUCUUCUCAGAAGGCUACAAGCAAUGGAAGAGUGACCUGCACCAAUGUUUCCAGCAAUUUGAUGAUCCGUAGGUUGCUCUAGAGGAGGGUUGUUCGAAGGAGUUGGAGGACCGACAAGACAAUUGGGUUUGGCUUUGCGGUCAUUUUCAGGAGCCGAGCUAUGUGAAGAAGGCGAAGACGAACAAGAUAAAUCGGGAGAAAAAGACUAUUCUCCACCAUUCGGGUUUGAGGCCUUUCUCCUAUAGGAUGGAGGCGCGACGGAAGGAGGGUUCAAAAUUUCCGGAGAUCGACGUCUUUUGCUGACGUUUAUGUUCGGCCUGGGAAUGAGUUGACUGAGUCCCUUCAUGCCACUAUGGUGGAGAAUAGUCAGUCGGUGCUUCAAGUGUCUGCCUCCCAGCUUCCCUCGGACAUGUCGAUUGAGUCUGUGGAUCCUCUUGAGGAUGCAGGGUUUCACAUCAUCACAGAGACGUUGGACCAGACUUUCGGUCGGAAGCCAGAGACUUAUUGUCGGGGGAUGGGAAAUGCCAGGAGGUAGGAGAGUAAAGCCUCGUCAUCCUUGCAGUCAAAGGGUCAGGUUACGGCUUUAGCGCAAGAAGUCACUGGCCUGAGGAGUGAGCUGGCAUCGUAUAAGUCUCAAAUGUCGAUGCUUGUACAAGCCCUCAGUUCCUCCAGAAUACAUCUCCCUGGUUUUUUUGCACCAUUGCCCUCACAACCCUUCCACAUCGAGCAAGCACAGCAAUCAGGCCCGUCGACCUUUGACCCCGUCCCCGACCAACACCAAGAUCAUUCGAACGACACUCCUAUAGAUUUUUCCGCCUUUUUUUCAUAGUUUUGUUCCUGCUUUCUUUGAUAACUUCA